CUGUCCCAGCUGGAUACCAGGAUGCCUCUUCCACUUUCCAGCCUAGGCUGGCUAUGGCUUAUGUCUUGGUUUCCUGCGUGACUCCUCACUUUAAUACCCAGGUGGUCCCAUGGCACCCACUCCUGCCCCUCUCACCCUAGAACCACGUCAACCUUGUGCACCGAAAAGGGAAGACCAAAGUGUGCCCUCACCCCGGCUGUGGCAAGAAGUUUUAUUUAUCCAACCACCUGCGACGCCACAUGAUCAUCCAUUCAGGCGUCCGAGAGUUCACCUGUGAGACCUGCGGCAAGUCUUUCAAGAGAAAGAAUCAUCUGGAGGUGCACAGGCGCACGCACACUGGGGAGACGCCCUUGCAGUG
rnacentral:lncRNA from 1 species